rnacentral:piRNA from 1 species
CAUAAACAGAGUGCUUUGGGCUUUCCGCUGU